UACGUAGGGUGCAAGCGUUGUCCGGAAUUAUUGGGCGUAAAGAGCUCGUAGGCGGUCUGUCACGUCGGCUGUGAAAACCCGGGGCUCAACCCCGGGCCUGCAGUCGAUACGGGCAGACUAGAGUGCGGUAGGGGAGACUGGAAUUCCUGGUGUAGCGGUGAAAUGCGCAGAUAUCAGGAAGAACACCGAUGGCGAAGGCAGUUCUCUGGGCCGUAACUGACGCUGAGGAGCGAAAGCGUGGGGAGCGAACAGG
rnacentral:rRNA from 1 species